rnacentral:lncRNA from 1 species
GAAAAAACAGGGGCUGGCCAUGUGGCUGACUGGUUAAGUUUGAGUGGUCUGCUUCGGUGGCCCAGGGUUUCACCAGUUUGGAUUCUGGGCACAGUCCUAGCACAGCUCAUCAAGCUAUGCUGAGGCAGCAUCCCACAGAGCACAACCAGAAGGACCUACAACUAGAAUACACGGCUGUGUACUGCGGAGCUUUGGGGAGAAGAGGAAAAAGAAAAGAAAAGGAAAAAGAAAGAAAAGAAAAUGGCAACAGAUGUUAGCUCAGGGCCAAUCUUUAAAAAAAAAAAAAAAAAGGAAAAGAAAAACAAGAAAUGAUGCAAAAUGUAAUGCUUCCAGGGCUCUCUCCAGAGACAGUUGUGAGAUAUAAUUAUGCAAAUAUUAAAAUGCAUAUUGUAUUGGGCUCUCUUUCAUUUUAAUCCUCAGGUUAACUUACUUCUGAAUUAGUUUUGUUGUAUAGGUAUUUACAAAUCUGACAAAAAUCCAGACCUUUUACUUAUAGUGGAAUGGUUAUAUGAACUUUAAAAGGGAAUUGCCAAACCUAAAACACCUCGGAAGGUGCUUGAAUAUGUGUUUCCCGCGCCAGAAGACACCUAUUCAGGAAGCACGUCUAGAGAACCGAGGCAGAUGGGAAGAGGGUGACAAUGGUGACCUGCAGACCAUCCUUUCCAACUUUGUCCCAGCAGGGUCCCCUGAAGAUCACCUAAAAUGAUGACGCUCUACUCCACUGAGAUGUUCCAAAGGCCCAGGGUUGUUGCAGAGACUCAUUCACACUACUGCAAAUCCUUCUGGUGGCUACAGGAAGCUCCCCACUGCAUCCCAAAGUGAUUACCCGGUAUUCCACCAACCUAUAUCUUAAAGCAGACAUCCUAAAUAUACUUAGAUUGAUGAAAAUUCAUCUAGCCAUUUUUACGUGAUGUCAAAUGGGUAAAUGGGAACAAUUUUUUUUAUAGACAAAUGGCGAAAUUACUUUUUAAAAAGUAUACUGAACAAUCAUAUGUCCUCUUAAAUUAUCAAAGUUCCCUACCCAGAGAAUAUAUGACUAGUAGAUUAAAUUUUACUUUCCUUUUAUGCUUUAAAUCCAAAUACUAUUACAAUGGUUUGGGAAGUUGACA